rnacentral:rRNA from 1 species
GCAGCAGUGGGGAAUUUUCCGCAAUGGGCGAAAGCCUGACGGAGCAACGCCGCGUGAGGGACGAAGGCCUCUGGGCUGUAAACCUCUUUUCUCAAGGAAGAAGAUAUGACGGUACUUGAGGAAUAAGCCACGGCUAAUUCCGUGCCAGCAGCCGCGGUAAUACGGGAGUGGCAAGCGUUAUCCGGAAUUAUUGGGCGUAAAGCGUCCGCAGGCGGCUUUUCAAGUCUGCUGUUAAAGCGUGGAGCUUAACUCCAUCAUGGCAGUGGAAACUGAAAGGCUUGAGUAUGGUAGGGGCAGAGGGAAUUCCCGGUGUAGCGGUGAAAUGCGUAGAUAUCGGGAAGAACACCAGUGGCGAAGGCGCUCUGCUGGGCCAUUACUGACGCUCAUGGACGAAAGCCAGGGGAGCGAAAGGGAUUAGAUACCCCUGUAGUCCUGGCCGUAAACGAUGAACACUAGGUGUCGGGGGAAUCGACCCCUUCGGUGUCGUAGCUAACGCGUUAAGUGUUCCGCCUGGGGAGUACGCACGCAAGUGUGAAACUCAAAGGAAUUGACGGGGGCCCGCACAAGCGGUGGAGUAUGUGGUUUAAUUCGAUGCAACGCGAAGAACCUUACCAGGGUUUGACAUCCUGCGAACCUCUUAGAAAUUUGAGGGUGCCUUCGGGAAUGCAGUGACAGGUGGUGCAUGGCUGUCGUCAGCUCGUGUCGUGAGAUGUUGGGUUAAGUCCCGCAACGAGCGCAACCCACGUUUUUAGUUGCCAGCAUUUAGUUGGGCACUCUAGAAAGACCGCCGGUGAUAAACCGGAGGAAGGUGUGGAUGACGUCAAGUCAUCAUGCCCCUUACACCCUGGGCUACACACGUACUACAAUGCUACGGACAAAGGGCAGCUAACUCGCGAGAGCUAGCAAAUCCCAUAAACCGUGGCUCAGUUCAGAUCGUAGGCUGCAA